rnacentral:rRNA from 1 species
UGGGGUUUUGCAUGUACCGUAUGAAUAAGGAUCGGCUAACUCCGUGCCAGCAGCCGCGGUAAUACGGAGGAUCCGAGCGUUAUCCGGAUUUAUUGGGUUUAAAGGGUGCUCAGGCGGGGGAUUAAGUCGGCGGUGAAAUUUUGCAGCUCAACUGUAAAAGUGCCUUCGAAACUGGUUUCCUUGAGUGUGGAUGAGGUAGGCGGAAUUUGUGGUGUAGCGGUGAAAUGCAUAGAUAUCACGAGGAACUCCGAUUGCGCAGGCAGCUUACUAAACCAUAACUGACGCUCAAGCACGAAGGCGUGGGGAUCAAACAGGAUUAGAUACCCUGGUAGUCCACGCAGUAAACGAUGAUUACUGGCUGUUUGCGAUAUAAUGUAAGCGGCUGAGCGAAAGCGUUAAGUAAUCCACCUGGGGAGUACGUUCGCAAGAAUGAAACUCAAAG